rnacentral:rRNA from 1 species
UACGGAGGGUCCGAGCGUUAAUCGGAAUUACUGGGCGUAAAGCGCGCGUAGGUGGUUUUGUCAGUCAGAUGUGAAAGCCCAGGGCUCAACCUUGGAAUAGCGGCUCAAACUACUUAUCUUGAAUACCCUAGAGGUUGGUGGAAUUCCUGGUGUAGGAGUGAAAUCCGUAGAGAUCAGGAGGAACAUCGGCGGCGAAGGCGGCCGGCUGGGGCCAUUCUGACGCUGAGGCGCGAAAGCGUGGGGAGCAAACAGG